rnacentral:lncRNA from 1 species
GAUAUGGCAGCACCGAGUGAGUGGGAGAGGCCGGGGCAGCACUACCUAACUACACAGUGAGACACCCCCACCACACAGACACGGCUGGGCUUACCCACCUGCUCCCACGUCCCAGCUCCACGCUCCUCUCAGCUGCCUCAUGUGCUCCGCAGGUUGUGGUGGGGUUGGCCCUGGUAGCCCACCUUGGACCAUGGGCCUCACUUGAGCUACUUUGUAUCCUCCAGGCUACUCCAUGUUUGGGGCUGGCCUCACAGUCGGUCUGUCCAACCUGUUCUGUGGAGUCUGCGUGGGCAUUGUGGGCAGUGGGGCUGCCCUGGCUGACGCACAGAACCCCAGCCUCUUUGUAAAAAUUCUCAUCGUGGAGAUCUUUGGCAGUGCCAUUGGCCUCUUUGGGGUCAUCGUCGCAAUCCUUCAGACCUCCAGAGUGAAGAUGGGUGACUAGAUGACCUGUAUGGGUGGGGCCGUGCCCCACUGUUAUUUAUUGCUGGUUUUCCUGGGAUGGCUGGAGCUGUGUCCCUUAGCCUUUCUGGGGCUUGGUGUUCAGGGCCCUCCUGCACUCACCUCUUGCUGCCUGUUGACUUUGGAGGCAUUGCAGUCCAGACUGAAUCCCAGUGUGGGAAGUGGGCUACUGAUGGUGACUGUGUACAGCUGUGCGCCCAUGCCCCCCAACCCCCAUCCAGCCCAUCUUCUUAGUGUUUGUGAAAUAAACUUGGUAUUUGUCCC